UACAGAGGGGGCGAGCGUUGUUCGGAAUUACUGGGCGUAAAGGGCGCGUAGGCGGCCCGCUAAGUCGAACGUGAAAUCCCCAGGCUCAACCUGGGAACUGCGUCCGAUACUGGCAGGCUUGAAUCCGGGAGAGGGAUGUGGAAUUCCAGGUGUAGCGGUGAAAUGCGUAGAUAUCUGGAGGAACACCGGUGGCGAAGGCGGCAUCCUGGACCAACACUGACGCUGAGGAGCGAAAGCCAGGGGAGCAAACGGG
rnacentral:rRNA from 1 species